rnacentral:misc_RNA from 1 species
GAAAUGCGAUAAGUAGUGUGAAUUGCAGAAUUCAGUGAACCAUCGAAUCUUUGAACGCACAUUGCGCCCCUUGGUAUUCCAUGGGGCAUGCCUGUUCGAGCGUCAUUUGUACCCUCAAGCUCUGCUUGGUGUUGGGUGUUUGUCCCGUCUCCGCGCGUGGACUCGCCCCAAAGUGAUUGGCAGCCGGCGUACUGGUCCCGGAGCGCAGCACAUGUCGCGCAAACGAGUGCCUUGGUACGGCGGCGUCCAUAAGCCCCUCUCUCACGCUCUUGACCUCGGAUCAGGUAGGGAUACCCGCUGAACUUAAGC